rnacentral:sRNA from 1 species
AGAACACUCAGAGGUUGGGUGAGAUUAGUUUUGAUGAGUCAUUCACUGUAGUUGUCUGAGCUUGUGAAGGGGGACAGUAUAAUACACAGAGGCAGAAGGCUCUCAUUGAAAAACAUGGGAUCUGCCACACCUAGUCAUCAAGCAUAGAACUGAUAAAAGAUCGCAUAAGAUUAACAACUAGAAAAGAAAGAAAAAAGAGAAAACCAGAAAAAAGAUCUAUUCACAUGCAGCUCUAAUGGCCACCGCAAGAGCUUUGCCCAACUCCUAAAAAUACAUGAACAUCACAAAAACAAAAGAAAAGAUGUACAUCAACAAAAACACUCAAAUCAACAACCCUCAGAAACAUCUGUACACAACAAAAAGGAAACUAAAACUUGGCCUGCACCAAGGACUCCAGGAUCUCAAGGUGCAUGUGUAGAAGUGCAGUGCACACCUCCACCUUGUGCAGAGCCUGGUGCACUGAUUCAAUAUCUUCAAUGGAAAGAUUCACAGAGAGGCCAACAAAACAAUGGGCAUGUGUAUGCAGAGAAAAACUGGUCAGAAGGGAGAAGGAUGAGAAGAGAGUGAGCAAAGCAGUUGAGCAGAUGUCUGAAUUUCUACAGAGAUGGAUGACAGACACUCAUCCAAUGAGAGUUGAAGGAAGGGGAGGAGUGGAAUUGAAAGUGGAGAAGAGUGGACAAGUGGUGAAAGGACCC